UGGCUUACCUGACAGGGGAGAUACCGUGAUCAGGAAGGUGGUUUUCCCAGGGCAAGGCUUAUCCACUGUACUCUGGAUGUGCUGACCCCUGCAAUUCCCCCAAAUGUGGGAAAUUUGACUGCAUAAUUUGUGGUAAUGGGGGACUGCGUUCCCACUCUCCCCUG
ensembl:snRNA U1 U1 spliceosomal RNA